GUGCUCUCUUGGGCAGCACAUACACUAAAAUUGGAAGGGUACAGAGAUUAGCAUGGCCCCGGUGCAGGGAAUGAUAAGGAAAUUUGUAAAGUGUGCCCUGUUUUA
ensembl:snRNA U6 U6 spliceosomal RNA